rfam:Acyrthosiphon pisum strain LSR1 Contig42106, whole genome shotgun sequence.
ACCCUGUUACGUAUACUGAAGGUAUACCGGACAGUUUUAUAAUGCACUCAGGAUACAUUUAGUAUACGUACAGGGU